rnacentral:lncRNA from 10 species
CCGCGCCCUCUCCCACUGGUUGUCCAGCCCACAUCCUGCACUCCCUCCACUGCGCCCCGCUCACACUCCCGCACCCUCCCCACACUGCGCCCUGCCCACACUCCUGCACUCUCUCCCCACUACGCCCCCUACCACAUCCCGCGCCCCCGCCCCCAUCCCCACUGCGCCCCGCCCACACUCCCGCGCCCUCGCGCCCCUGGGCUCUCCCGUCGUGGGCACUCUCCCCAGCGCUUCUACACUUUCUCCCGACGCAGCGCCCUGCCCUCCGUCCCGCCCCACCUAUUGCCUCCUGCGCUUCCCCCACACCGUGCUCUUCCUCCUCCUUCACUUCCUCCCACUCCUCGCGCUCCCCUUCAGCGCCCCACGCAGCCCCUCCCCCAAAACCCCGCGUCGCUCUCCUUCCCUCCUGGCCUCUCUUCCAGUCUCGCGCUCCCUGCCGGGCCCCGCCGCAGGUGUCCCGCAGCCGUCUCCCCAGGGCAUUUGAAUCUUGCCUUGGAGCUCUUGCCGCGCGGCCCAGCACCCUGGAAGAGGCAUCAGGGAGGAUGGGACGACGAGGAAGGGGAAGGUUAAUUUCAUAGAGCCAGCUAUGGAACUGGGGAGGACAGAGAGAAGGUCUUUGCUCUCCUAAGACAAGAUGGAUCCCCCACUGACUUUGGACUCCCGUCACGUUCACCGACCCCUGAGUCCUGCUCCUGUGCCUGCCUGGAGCUUAUGUUCUAACGGGCACAAACAAUAAAUAAGGAAGAUAUUUUGCAGGUGCUAUGCCAAAAGAAGAGCCAUGAGGAGGGGCGCAGGUUUUUGUUUUGUUUUAUUUUGGUUUGGUUUGGUUGGUUGGUUGAGAUGGAGUCUCGCUCUUGUUGCCCAGGCUGGAGUGCAAUGGCGUGAUCUCGGCUCACUGCAACCUCCGCCUCCCGGGUUCAAGCAAUUCUCCCGCCUCAGCCUCCUGAGUAGCUGGGAUUACUGGCGCGUGCCACCACGCCCAGCUAAUUUUUGUAUUUUUAGUAGAGACGGGGUUUCAUCAUGUUAGCCAGGCUGGUCUCAAACUCCUGACUUCAGGUGAUCUACCCACCUCUGCCUCCCAAAGUGCUGGAAUUACAGGCUUGAGCCACCGAGGGGCGCAGUUUUAAUCUAGCGGUGAGAGGAGUCAGGGAAGGUGAAAUUUGCGCUUCCUGAGGACCCGCCUGCCGGCCCGGGCUCCCCCAGUCUCGCCGUUAAAUGAACGGAAAUUGGCGGACGCCGUUGCCUGCAGGCACAGCCCGUCGGCUCGGUUGCGUAAAUGUACUUAGCAGCCAAAGCUCAGUGGAAACCCUGCGGGAGGAUUGAUUGGCGCUCUUAGGUGAAGCAGGCUGUCAAGAGCCCCGAUUCACUGUCCUCUGGGGAAAAUGGAUAGACAAAUCGGAGGAAAAAAUUGAGAGGAACUGUGAGCAGUAUAAAUCUUGCAUGAGGAGGCCCCUGACUUACGUUAAAACUCAGAGUUAUGAAGGGCUGUGACACCUUGCUUGGCUUCUAGUCUUGACAUAGACUAAAAGGCAGAAGGUUUCCAGAGCUCACGCUGGAUGGCUGGGCAGAUGAGGUCUUCAGAGACUCUCCAGGGAGGUACGGCUCUGCCUUUCUACUCAGUAUGCAAGCUCCCCAGACUUCUGAAGAGGGAUGUUUCUCCUUAGAGAAAGUCUCCCUGAAUGUGGGUAUUUCAUAAGUUCUUGGACCAGUUCUGCUCUUCUCAGUCCUGCUUUUUGUCAACAUACAUUGAAUCACUUCUCCCUGGCAAAAGAGCAGCAUGUGAAGAAAAUGUGAUCCUUGGUGGUUUGACAUGAAAUUGACUUUUUCUUCUAGCAACACUUAUGAAUAUUCAAAUACAAUUAUGGAAAAGAUUUUUUGCACUGAUCAGCAUAACAAACAAAUUAGACAUCCCAGUGUGCAAAUAUAACUUUCUGAAUUUCCUAGUUUUAAAUAUUCCAGUGGCCAGGAUACCCUAUCCAGAGGAAGCAGGACCGUCUCAGCUGACCAGGGCCCUUGCCUGCUAAUAGCAUCAUGCAUACCUUGUUUCUUCAUGAGGCUGCUUGCCCGAGUUCCAAUCCACCAGGAAUUCAUCUUGUAUCAUAGCUGAUGGAUCCCGUGUCUCGUUUCUAAGUUGGAGCAUCACUUUGCAGCUCCCAACCAGGGCCAGCCACAAAAUUUGAAAGGCCCAGUGCAAAAUAAAAAUGCAGAGCCCCUUGUUCAAAAAGCAGGAAAAGAAUGGGCCAGCAAAGGAACUAAAAUAAACGAAAGCUUUUCCCUUUCUUCCAUGGUCUCUCUUUUGACCUAUCAUGGUGUUUUUAUUUGCUACUGAAUAUCAUGCUUUCUUGGGACAGGGUGAGUGUCAACUGUCACACUUGCCCAGGGGCCCUGCCGAGUGACUUGGUGGGUACACAGUCCACCAGCUGCUUGCAUGGCCACGCCCACCCUGAGAUGCCACGGGUAGUGUAGUAAAAGCAUCUGAUGUCAACCCCACACCCCUCCACACAUACACACUCAGGUUCCCGCAGACCAUGGAGGGCACCAGCGGUUGCUGGGUGAGGGUGGGGAUGGGGAGGCCAUGUGGGGCCCAGGACACCAAAGGGAGGGAGACGAGCAGUCAAUAAUGUGCCUGGGAGAGGUGGCGGACCAGCAGCAGAUGGGAGCACACAUGAGGCAGGCUCCAAGUGCUCACGUAUGCUCCACUGUCCAAUGAGGCCUCACUUACACCACACAAAUUCAAAGAUAAAAUAAAGUUUUUUUUGUUUUGUUUUGUUUUGUUUUGUUUUGGAGACAAGAGUCUCACUCUGUCACCCAGGCUAGAGUGCAGUGGCGCAAUCUUGGCUCACUGCAACUUCCACCUUCCAGGUUCAAGUGAUUCUCCUGCCUCAGCCUCCCAAACAGCUGGGGCUACAGGUGUCCACCACCACACCUGGCUAAUUUUUUGUAUUUUUAGUAGAGAUGGGGUUUCUCCAUGCUGGCCAGGCUGGUCUCAAACUCCUGACCUCAAGUGAUCCGCCC